AGAAGCCUUCACGAGUAUUUUUUGUUGAUAUCGAUUCUAAAAUUGAAAUGGAUUUAACAAACGAUCUAAGUGGGAUAGAUGAUGGUACUUUGAUCUAUGUGACGAGUUAUGCAGUGAAUAAUGUAUCAUCACCACAGCCUGAUGAUAAGAUAAAAGAAGACGAUAAGGAUUCAGAUAAUGAAGAUGAAAAAUUAAAUGUUAUUGACCCCUUAGAUGCUGUC
rnacentral:sRNA from 1 species